CGUACAUCCAGAGAACUUAGCAGAGAUGCUUUGGUGCCUUCGGGAACUCUGAGACAGGUGCUGCAUGGCUGUCGUCAGCUCGUGUUGUGAAAUGUUGGGUUAAGUCCCGCAACGAGCGCAACCCUUAUCCUUUGUUGCCAGCGGCUCGGCCGGGAACUCAAAGGAGACUGCCGGUGAUAAACCGGAGGAAGGUGGGGAUGACGUCAAGUCAUCAUGGCCCUUACGGCCAGGGCUACACACGUGCUACAAUGGCGCAUACAAAGAGAAGCGACCUCGCGAGAGCAAGCGGACCUCAUAAAGUGCGUCGUAGUCCGGAUUGGAGUCUGCAACUCGACUCCAUGAAGUCGGAAUCGCUAGUAAUCGUAGAUCAGAAUGCUACGGUGAAUACGUUCCCGGGCCUUGUACACACCGCCCGUCACACCAUGGGAGUGGGUUGCAAAAGAAGUAGGUAGCUUAACCUUCGGGAGGGCGCUUACCACUUUGUGAUUCAUGACUGGGGUGAAGUCGUAACAAGGUAAGCGUACGUGU
rnacentral:rRNA from 1 species